rnacentral:rRNA from 1 species
GGAUGGCUUAGAAGCAGCCAUCCUUUAAAGAAAGCGUAAUAGCUCACUAGUCGAGUCGGCCUGCGCGGAAGAUGUAACGGGGCUAAGCAAUAUACCGAAGCUGCGGCAGCACGUUUAAGUGCUGGGUAGGGGAGCGUUGUGUAAGUGGAUGAAGGUGAGUUGUAAAGCUUGCUGGACAUAUCACAAGUGCGAAUGCUGACAUGAGUAACGACA